CCUACGGGAGGCUGCAGUGGGGAAUAUUGGGCAAUGGGCGCAAGCCUGACCCAGCAACGCCGCGUGAAGGAAGAAGGCUUUCGGGUUGUAAACUUCUUUUAAGAGGGAAGAGCAGAAGACGGUACCUCUUGAAUAAGCCACGCCUAACUACGUGCCAGCAGCUGCGGUAAUACGUAGGUGGCAAGCGUUGUCCGGAUUUACUGGGUGUAAAGGGCGUGCAGCCGGGAAGACAAGUCAGAUGUGAAAUCCCGCGGCUCAACCGUGGAACUGCAUUCGAAACUGUUUUUCUUGAGUACCGGAGAGGUCAGCGGAAUUCCUUGUGUAGCGGUGAAAUGCGUAGAUAUAAGGAAGAACACCAGUGGCGAAGGCAGAUGACUGGACGGCAACUGACGGUGAGGCGCGAAGGCGUGGGGAGCAAACAGGAUUAGAUACCCGAGUAGUC
rnacentral:rRNA from 1 species